GGCCUCGUAGCUCAACUGGUAGAUCAUGCGCGUACAGAGCGUAGGCAACAUCCAUGUGUGGGUUCGAAUCCCACCGAGGCUA
rnacentral:tRNA from 1 species